rnacentral:lncRNA from 1 species
CUCUUGUCAAGCCACGAUUAGUCUCCCAUAGCCUGAAGCUCUCCUCAUCCAAAUGCUUCUUGUCUAUACCAACUGAUUAGCUGUCUACUAAGCUCUGCAACAUGUAGGUGACACAAGUAGCUCAGAUAGGGCUGUACCAUUCACAAUGUAGUGCCAGUACACAUGUAGUUCUUCAAGUCAGCAUUUCCAGUAAAGAAAACAGAUAACAAAACGGGACAGUUGUGGUUUCAUUAUUUCUGCUGCAAGCAGCGACACAAGGUUCCGCACCAUUUUGAAAGUUAACUGCACUCCCAGAACUGACAAUAACACAGGAAAGAGGAGAUAAUAUAACACUUGAAGCAUCUUGAAAAGAUCUAACUGAUCACCUCUCAAGCAAGAAACAGGGGCAACAAAGUCACUCUUCAAGGAUUGCACGACCCAGGUUAGUGGCAAGUGCGAGUCUGACAGAGCUCAAGGAAUCAGAUGGCAAGUCAGCUUCAACAAAGUCUGGCCUCAAUCUUGCCAUGGACAACUCUUGCAGUUUAUUCAAGAGAAGCUGAGUUUGAGAGACAUUAAGUAAAGGUCGCUCCUGCCAGUUUAACAAUUUCAACUGCACAGGAAGAAAAGGAGGUAAAGUAAUGAUGUCAAAAAUGAAACAUGCACCAGCUAUUAAUAACACAAAGGUCGUUCCUGCCAUUUUAACAAUUUCAACUGCACAGGAAGAAAAGGAGGUAAAUUAAUGAUGUCAAAAAUGAAACAUGCACCAGCUAUUAAUAACAUAUACAUCUGAAAGCAUGUUUAACUUUUGGCCUUGACUUAAUUUAACAGAUUGCCAACCCCUCCCUCACCACCACAUGUACCCAUUUCCAACAACUGGUAUACUGUUGACUGAAAGACUUUAGCAGAAGUGCCUGCACUUAGCUUUUCUAGUUUGAUAUGAACGAAGAUUCAUAUGACAUUAGGAAAAGGAGCAUUUUUUUAACACAUACCCCCAGACCAGCCUUUCUUUUCUUUUUCUUUUGCUUUUUU